rnacentral:lncRNA from 1 species
CCCACUUCACUGCAGCCUCACAAGCCAGGCAUUUGCUUCAGAUAUUCCAGUUCAGUUGUAACUGCAAAUUAAUCCAUGCCACUUUGUUUCCCCCCUUAGACUUCACGUACGUAGAUGCCUUUAAGCUCUGUUGCUCAGGAGAUGGAUGAUUCACUGUGCCAGGCUCCCCUUCUGGCCUGUCCACAGCUCUCUGAGCUCCACUUUGCAGCCAAGGUCUCGCAGUGCAGCUUUGGCCACAUCAUCGCAGUCCUUGUGUGUUGCACGAGCUUCUGUUAUUAGGUCCUCAGCUCCCAUCUCUAAGAUGGGCUGAGAAUAGUCUCGGCUCCGGGAAACCAGGUUGCGGAUCAGCAUGCAAGCCUGUUUCUGUACAGCCACUUCUCGUGGGUGUGCUUUCAUAGCCUGAAGAGCUGCCAGUGCCCCUCCACCUUCCAUGAUGACAUUACAGUUCUCAGGUUUGCGCAGAGCUAACAUGCAC